rnacentral:tRNA from 1 species
ACACCGGUGGUGUAAUGGCGUGGCAUUCCUGCUCGGUCAGCAGGAGAUGCGGGUUCGAGUCCCACCUGGCGCU